rnacentral:rRNA from 1 species
GAUGAACGCUGGCGGCGUGCCUAAUACAUGCCAGUCGAGCGAACGGACGAGAAGCUUGCUUCACUGAUGUUAGCGGCGGACGGGUGAGUAACACGUGGAUAACCUACCUAUAAGACUGGGAUAACUUCGGGAAACCGGAGCUAAUACCGGAUAAUAACUUGAAACGCAUGGUUCAAAAGUGAAAGACGGUCUUGCUGUCACUUAUAGAUGGAUCCGCGCUGCAUUAGCUAGUUGGUAAGGUAACGGCUUACCAAGGGAACGAUGCAUAGCCGACCUGAGAGGGUGAUCGGCCACACUGGAACUGAGACACGGUCCAGACUCCUACGGGAGGCAGCAGUAGGGAAUCUUCCGCAUUGGGCGAAAGCCGGACGGAGCAACGCCGCGUGAGUGAGGAAGGUCUUCGGAUCGUAAAACUCUGUGAUUAGGGAAGAACAUGUGUGUAAGUAACUGUGCACAACUUGACGGUACCUAAUCAGAAAGCCACGGCUAACUACGUG